AAUACCAGGGCCGAGCGGUUAUGGCGCCAGUUUCAGGUACACUUGAAAUCUAAUAUACUGGUUCGAAAGAGCAUGGGUUCGAAUCCCAUCGUCAUCA